UCACGCAAAGGCGCGUGCCUGGUAAAUUAAUCUUUUCAUCCGUCGUAAUAAUUUGUAAAAUUAAACAUAAUAUUUUAACAUUAAAAGAGUAUUAUACAUAUCCAGUUGAUGUUAAGGUCUGUAUGGUAAUUAAUAUGUUUUACAUUUUAUUAGCUUUCUAACUUACACUGCAUGUUAAUAUCCAUUUGUGCACCCGCUGGUUCGCCGUUGCUGGUUUGUGCAUUCGUGUUUGUUGAGCGCGUGUGUGAAAAACCUAACAAUUAACGAGCUGAUUAAAAAUCUCAUACUCGUAUUAAAUAAGCCAAACCCUGGUGCUUAGAGCGAACUUUUGUUUUAUGAUGAUAUGAUGCGGGAGAGAUCUUCAGUUACCAGCUUUCCUGACUGUUGUUAUACGAUCAAGAAUCUUGAAGACGCGGAAAACACUUGUUUUGUCUCCACUCUUAAGGGACAGUGGACCUGCUUCGGGCCAAGUUGGCUGCCAGCCGUCCCAUCACAGCGGAAGCACAGAACCUGGAGGAGGAGACAGGAAACGUGGCCCAGACGCUGAUAAUCGGAGACGCAGCUGUCUCUCUUCAGCUGGAAUUACUUUGGCUUGAAAAGGAACUCAAGGACGUAUAGGGCACACAGGAGAUCCUCCGGUCUGUCUGACAGUGAAGCGCAGAGGGAAGCGUCUCAGCGUGAGGAAGAUGCCAGAAUACAACUGUGUCAUCUCAACGCAGACCUUUUAUUUAAUCACAUUGUGUUUCUGGAGCAGCUCAGCAAUCUCAUGUGAAGUGCCAUCAUAAGUGUUUCUCUCGGUUUGGAUACUGAUGUAAAUUGCAGUAUGUACUUGAAGUAACGUAUAAUUUCUGUCUGACAUGUUUUGUGAACUCAG